UGGGCAGUGGAGACAUUGUCCUUCAGUUAGGCUGGCCCCAGAACAGGUGCUGCAUGGCUGUCGUCAGCUCGUGUCGUGAGAUGUUGGGUUAAGUCCCGCAACGAGCGCAACCCUCGCCCUUAGUUGCCAGCAUUUAGUUGGGCACUCUAAGGGGACUGCCGGUGAUAAGCCGAGAGGAAGGUGGGGAUGACGUCAAGUCCUCAUGGCCCUUACGGGCUGGGCUACACACGUGCUACAAUGGUGGUGACAGUGGGCAGCGAGACAGCGAUGUCGAGCUAAUCUCCAAAAGCCAUCUCAGUUCGGAUUGCACUCUGCAACUCGAGUGCAUGAAGUUGGAAUCGCUAGUAAUCGCAGAUCAGCAU
rnacentral:rRNA from 1 species